rnacentral:misc_RNA from 1 species
GAUGAAGAACGUAGCGAAAUGCGAUAAGUAAUGUGAAUUGCAGAAUUCAGUGAACCAUCGAAUCUUUGAACGCACAUUGCGCCCGGCAGUAAUCUGCCGGGCAUGCCUGUCCGAGCGUCAUUUCUGCCCUCGAGCGAGUCCAGCAUCUAGGUGCUGGGCCCGCCCGGCGUUGGGGCACUACGGGAAGCCCUGUGCUGUCCCCCGUAGGCUCCGAAAUGAAGUGGCGGUCCUGCCGCGGCGCCCCCUGCGUAGUAUAACAGCUCGCUUCGGGACCCGGUGGAGGCCUGCCGUCAAACCUUACUCUCUAAGUUUGACCUCGGAUCAGGUAGGGUUACCCGCUGAACUUAAGCAUAUCAAUAAGCGGAGGA